GGGGUUAUGGCUCAGUGGUAGAGUGCUCGCCUCUCAUAUGAAAGUCACUGGGUUCGAUCCUUAGCACCA
rnacentral:tRNA from 1 species